AUUGAACGCUGGCGGCAUGCUUUACACAUGCAAGUCGAACGGUAACAGGCCGCAAGGUGCUGACGAGUGGCGAACGGGUGAGUAAUGCAUCGGAACGUGCCCAGUCGUGGGGGAUAACUACUCGAAAGAGUAGCUAAUACCGCAUACGAUCUAUGGAUGAAAGCGGGGGACCGUAAGGCCUCGCGCGAUUGGAGCGGCCGAUGUCAGAUUAGGUAGUUGGUGGGGUAAAGGCUCACCAAGCCAACGAUCUGUAGCUGGUCUGAGAGGACGACCAGCCACACUGGGACUGAGACACGGCCCAGACUCCUACGGGAGGCAGCCGUGGGGAAUUUUGGACAAUGGGCGCAAGCCUGAUCCAGCAAUGCCGCGUGCAGGAAGAAGGCCUUCGGGUUGUAAACUGCUUUUGUACGGAACGAAACGGCUCUGGUUAAUACCCGGGGCUAAUGACGGUACCGUAAGAAUAAGCACCGGCUAACUACGUG
rnacentral:rRNA from 1 species